AUUUUGUGUCUCAUGAUUAACUGGUUUAGCAAAGCAUUAAACUCUGGUUUACGCCCAAGCAACGAAAGCAUGCUUUGAUUCAUAGGAUUUAUAUGGUUUUGGUUUCUCUAGUGUUUAUGAAGCCUCUACAGGAUAUUAUAUAAAUACUUGAGUUUAAAUGAAUUUAUGCAGGAUUAGAAAUCUUUAUAGGCUUCAAUGCUGGUAUUACAUGAGUCUGCUUUCUGAAUUUGAUAUCAUAUGCUUGUAUUGUGUGCUAACUUAUUAUUUUACAUUUUCAGGUGCAAAACCUUCUUCAACAAAUGGUGAGUUAUUAGCAUAUUAAAAGUUGAAUUCUGCAUAACUUUUUUGUACAAAACCAUUUCAUUCUUGGAUAAUUUUAUUUAUUUGUAUUAUUAUUAUUUUUUCAAUCUUUGCAGCAAACCCGGUUUCAGGCAAUGUCCGAGUCCAUCAUCUGUAAAAAUAUCCUUUUCAAAGUUCUCUUGUUUUAUAUUGCAUUCUUUUAUCAAAAAAUGCGAUUGUUGUUACCAUAAUAUGACAAGUUAACGUCCAAUAUGAUUUAUAUUUAUGGCUGAUUGAUAUGCACGAGCCUAUGUUUCCUUAACUGUGUAUUACUUGAUGAGAUGGGGAACCGGAUUGAUGAAUUGGAGCAGAGUAUCAACGACCUUAGAACUGAAAUGGGUCAAGAAGGCUCUCCGUCUCCUUCAGGUUCUCUGAAAGCAAGAGAAGAUCCCAAGUCGACAGAUGAUUCUGCUUAAAACGUGCCUCGUAUGUUGUAUUGGCUAGUCUGGUUUGUGUUGUUCUUUUUUAUGAUUUAAGAUCGAAAGCUUUCUAUUUUACCCUUCUCCUUUACCACUGUGAAUCUCAUUUCAUAGCUCCGAUUAUCUAUGCUGGAGCCAUUUGAAUGCACUUUCCUUAGCCUUUUUAUAUUUGCAUUUUUGUUGGAUGUUUCUGUGCAGCAAGUGUUUCUUGAUCUUGCAUUCACUUGCCUUUUGGUGUCGUUGAGCCUGAAAAACUUGAAAAUUUUUGAGGUUACAUGGCUAUGUGUUGAAGUUCCAAAAUUAUCUUGGAAUGGUUUGAAUUGGCCAGCUUAACGAUUCUGGUGUUCUAAAAGCAUGAUAUCAACCCAUUUCUCGUUAUGAAAGACCCUCAAGUGAUCAUUGUUACCAUAUAUAAUGGCGAAUAUUUA
rnacentral:lncRNA from 1 species